rnacentral:rRNA from 1 species
UACAGAGGUCUCGAGCGUUAGGCGGAAUCACUGGGCUUAAAGCGUGUGUAGGUGGAUCGGUAAGUACCUUGUGAAAUCCCACAGCUUAACUGUGGAACUGCUUGGUAUACUGCCAGUCUUGAGCCAGCUAGGGGCUACCGGAACAAAUGGUGGAGCGGUGAAAUGCGUAGAUAUCAUUUGGAACGCCAAUGGUGAAAACAGGUAGCUGGGGCUGUGCUGACACUGAGACACGAAAGCCAGGGGAGCGAAUGGG